UAUAGAGACUUGUUUUCAAACGAGAUGGACAGUGGAGAGACAGACAGGCCGACAGGGCCAGACGAGAAGGAACGUUAUAAGACGGGUUAACCAUCGCGAGCUUUUUUACGCGUCUGCUGAACAAUUCACAUUUCUUUUUUCCAACCUACUCUUUCUUAUUCUUUUCCUCCGGUUUAGCCGACGGUUCCCCGGAGGUGGGCCCCAACAGCGGGCCCAGCUACGACCCCCCUCGUGAAGAGGAAGAGAAACAAGAAAGGACGAGGCCCAAGAGGCCCUUGCAAGAGCGUGCCUUCCCCACCUACUGGACCCAGCCCAUUAAUCAUCGGGGUAAUUCCAUAGAUGGCUCUUGGCUGCUCUAAGGAGUGAGCGAUGCAUGCCAAACUUACCUCGUGCUUCGCUUUUUAAAACCAACUUGGAUACGUCCUAAAGCAAAACUACGACUCAUUUCCUUCUCCAAUGUUGUUGAGAAUAUAUUCACGAUACCGGGGGAAUCGUAAUAAAGAAAGAGAGAGAGGGAACUACGAGAGGUGGAUGACGCCUGUCGGAAUGUACAAAAAACGUCUUCGCGACUCGUCGCCGAAGAUGUCCUGGGCCACCGGCCAUUCGAACGAUGUCAGGAGUUUAAUCAAUGCAUUUAGCCGAAUUCCUGUCUGGACAAAAUAAAAGUCUACGCAGGCGCGAUUGCGAGGAAAAAAACCGAUUCCUCUCCAUCAUUGGGUUAAGGAGACGACUCCGUUGGGGUUUUUGAGUAUUCCAACAAGCGGAUCCAGAGAUGCUGCACCCUUACUCCUGUCUUCAACAUGUUCAUGGACGUUAUCGUGGCUUCUCGGAGGAAAACAAAGAGAACUGACUUCUGUUGUCCGGUCAGUUCAUUUUUGAAGAUGAAAGGAGCAACAAGGAAUUGGUCAGAGGGUGGAAUUUUACUGGGACCUCAGGCCCUUUGCCUUCUACGAACAGCUGAUCUUGUAGGUAUGCAUAAGAUGAUCGAUUUAUCUGUUGAUGUUCACAAGUUCAAUAGCACGUGUUGGUCUAUGAGUCGUUAUCAGGUGUUUAAUGACUUCAUCUAGUUGCAUUUAUGUUUCGACAACAUAAAAGUGUAUACAGACGUGAUUGCAAGGAACAGAACCGAUUCCUCUUCAUCCCUGGGUGAGGAGACGACGCCGUUGGGGGUGUGAAAUAUAGCCUCAGUCUUCUACGAAUUGAUUUCUAUGAGUCUAUGGUUUCAAAAAUGUAUCAACAUAGAGAGAGAUGUUGGGACUAGACAUAAACAUAAGCCAUGAGGUCAUGUGGCAAAGGAACUGGGGAUCCUUUGUCAUGUUAUGACGAUUUUUCUUUUGGUCUCGUUGAUCACUUUCAGUCUCCUGAGGCAGGUCGUAGGGAACAGACAUUUCUUCCUCGUGCCAUUUUCAAUAAACUUAAAUUAACGUAUUGAA